ACCAUUGGCUGUCAGGCGUGUCCUGAUGACCAAACAGAGCAGAGCAGGUGUGACUCCUCAUUGUCCUGGGGAGAGGUAUAUAUACAGAGGGCAGCCCUGGCAGACAGGUAGACAACUGAGUGGCUUCAACAUGGCAAAAGUGACCGAUAAAUCUUGGGAGCCAAAAACUACAAGCACCAAGCGGUGGAAGAAAAGGAAGGCCCUCUCUCAGCCUGGAUCAGGAGGCAAGGUGGUGAAGAUAUAUAAGAAGGUAAAAAGACCACUUCAUGUGUGUUCAAGAAAAAAGUACUCCUCAAAAGUUAUAACUAUGAGAAGACAAAAGAGAACAAGAAGGGCCAAGCUUCAGCCAGUCCCAUAGACUGAGAGCCAAAAGCAGCCAGGCCAGGCCUAACAGCCCCUGUAGAACGACACCACUCUGAGAUAAGACCUAAGCAAACAGCGCCUGCAGAGCAAGCUUCAGAGACCUGAGAACAACCUGCUACAUCUAGAGUCCUGGCUGCGGAGAAAUGGCCAACUGCGUAGACACUGACGUGAAACAUGGGACACAAAUGCUGGUUAUUAAAAUCAGCAGGGUGUGAGAAGCCCCUCAAAAAAAGGCAAUAAAAGCAGGCACUCUGCACAGAAAUGA